ACAUGCGUACAACAUAGCGUUAAUGCAUCGGAUCCCAUUAGAAGUUUUUAUUUAAGUGCACUCGAGAUAGAGCAGUACUGGGAUGAGACCACCUGGGAAUUCCUAUUGUUUUACAUGAU
rnacentral:rRNA from 1 species